AUCUCCUGGGGAUCUUGUUAAAAUGCAGAUUCUGAUUCAGGAGGUCUGGGCUGGGGUGUGAGAUUCUGCAUUUCAAACAAGAUACCAGGUGAUCCUAG
rnacentral:pre_miRNA from 1 species